rnacentral:rRNA from 1 species
CUACGGGGGGCUGCAGUGAGGAAUAUUGCACAAUGGGGGGAACCCUGAUGCAGCAACGCCGCGUGGAGGAUGACGCAUUUCGGUGUGUAAACUCCUUUUAUAUGUCAAGAAAAUGACGGUAGCAUAUGAAUAAGCACCGGCUAACUCCGUGCCAGCAGCCGCGGUAAUACGGAGGGUGCAAGCGUUACUCGGAAUCACUGGGCGUAAAGGACGCGUAGGCGGGCUUGUAAGUCAGGUGUGAAAUCCUACAGCUUAACUGUAGAACUGCACUUGAAACUACGAGCCUAGAGUAUGGGAGGGGGAGAUGGAAUUAGUGGUGUAGGGGUAAAAUCCGUAGAUAUCACUAGGAAUACCUAAAGCGAAGGCGAUCUCCUGGAACAUAACUGACGCUAAGGCGUGAAAGCGUGGGGAGCAAACAGGAUUAGAUACCCGGGUAGUC